AGCUUGCUCUUAUGAAGUUAGCGGCGGACGGGUGAGUAACACGUGGGUAACCUGCCCAUAAGACUGGGAUAACUCCGGGAAACCGGGGCUAAUACCGGAUAACAUUUUGAACCGCAUGGUUCGAAAUUGAAAGGCGGCUUCGGCUGUCACUUAUGGAUGGACCCGCGUCGCAUUAGCUAGUUGGUGAGGUAACGGCUCACCAAGGCAACGAUGCGUAGCCGACCUGAGAGGGUGAUCGGCCACACUGGGACUGAGACACGGCCCAGACUCCUACGGGAGGCAGCAGUAGGGAAUCUUCCGCAAUGGACGAAAGUCUGACGGAGCAACGCCGCGUGAGUGAUGAAGGCUUUCGGGUCGUAAAACUCUGUUGUUAGGGAAGAACAAGUGCUAGUUGAAUAAGCUGGCACCUUGACGGUACCUAACCAGAAAGCCACGGCUAACUACGU
rnacentral:rRNA from 1 species